rnacentral:misc_RNA from 1 species
GGGAGUUAUAAUUAGUUACAUAAACCUACACUAUUGCUAGGCAUACACAUAAGAGCCACUAAAGAAAAAGUUGUCAACUUCUCCAUUUAUGGAACAGAGCUUGUGAAUAGCAACAGAUGGUUAGGAGGAGCUGUAUCUCCUAUGGUUAAUUCUCUUCUGAAAACAAAGCCGUAAUCGCUGGCUAAGAGCUUCCAACUUUUCAAACUUCUCGCGCUUGGAUUUUUUUGUGAUUUUUGCAGCUUUCUUUUUUCCAUCGUCCUUUGAUGAGUCCAGUGCAGUAUGUUGGUUAUCGCGAAGAGGGGUCACAAGCACAUC